UUGCUUUAGGUGAAAAUGACCUAAAGAUAAUGGGAUAAUCUCCAAACACUUGGAAACGAAAGAACACACUUCUGAAUAAUCCAUGUGUCAAAGAGGAAGUCUCGAGGAAAAUCAAAAAUUGCAUUGAACUGAAUUAAAAUGAAAAUAUAACAUAUCAAAAUUUGUGGGACAUAGCUAAAUCAGUGCUGA